GACAAGGAGUGUCUGAAUUCAUUCAGCAUCAGCCUCCAACUCCACCCCACACGUAUCCGCUGGAAAUUGCUGCAGCCACUCCAACCUUCAGCAACCACCUCCUUGAUCAGUCAGCAGCCAUCAACAUUGAGGCAAGACCCUCCACCAGCAAAAUGAUUAUGACUUACUGAAGGUUCAGAUAAUCAUUCUCACUUUUUGGCAACAAAGUAUAUUUUAUUAAGGUGCAACUAAAAAUUCUGGAUAUUCUGUACAAAAGAAACAAAAUAAAAGUCUCAAGGAUGGAGAGGAGGGACUGGCUAAAGAUGCAGAGACCCAAUGAAUGACGCAGAGGUGAGUCCCUCAGGUUUUAUUUUUGUUUUUUGUUUUUUGUUUUUUUUUGCCUCAUGUAUCCUAAACUUGGAAGUGAAGAAGCCAGCAACCCAGAAACCACCAAUAAGCACACACACACGCGCGCGCGUGCGCGCGAUCAUAAUGAAAGCCUGUUCUCAUUAGCCAAUGGACCAGAAAAGAGUCAACCUUACAAGACAGAAAACUUUCAGACGAUAACUUCCCACUCCAGCGAAAUGUCACAGAAAAAACUGUAAUUAUACCCUAUACUCUGCAAUAAAGACCAACUGAAGAGCCCAGAGUGUGUUGCCAGGUUAAAAUACCCCUGUCAGCUGGUAUCAAAAGAAGCUUAAUACAGAUUCAGGACUUUCAUCCCACUCACUGGGUACAAGGCCACCUACUCCCCUCUCCAUGGUGUCAGUGGAGGCCAUGUAAAGACUAGUCAUGAGGGCUGGGCACAGUGACUCACGCCUGUAAUCCCAGUACUUUGGAAGGCUGAGGCGGGUGGAUCACCUAAGGUCGACAGUUUGAGACCAGCCUGACCAACA
ensembl:lncRNA novel transcript